rnacentral:ncRNA from 1 species
GCAACAGCAAUGACUGAAAGAAGUAAGUAUGAGCGGAACAUACAGAGAGCUGCCGGGUGGUGAGAGGCGCAUGGAAAACUGAUACCGAAUACAUUCACAAGCUGCGCAUUGAACGUUAUCAGAAAUGAUUUUGAUGAUCAGUAGGCUGCGCCGGGAGCAACCGUUAUAUUGCAGAAGUAUUGUCAGAUACUUGGUGAGGCGGAUCGUGUGAGCGGUCUGUGAAUUAAGGUGGUAACACGAGAUUUUAUCCCGUCCUUAUG